AGUUUUUUGACUAUACAAAGGUAUUGUAAUAAGAUUUUAAUUGAAUGCUAAAAGAAUGGAAAUUUAAAAAAAAACUUUUUUAAAAAUAAAAAUUGAAUUUUUUUUAAUUUGUGCAAAAACAAUUAUAUUUAUUAAAGACAAGAAGACCCUAAGAAUUUAAGAUUUUACAAUUAAAAAGUUUUUUUUUUAAAAUCUUGAUUGGGGCGAUCAAAAAAUAUUAAUAACUUUUUAAAAUUUAAAUUGAUCUAUUAUUAAUAAACUAAUGAAUUAAAUACUCUAGGGAUAACAGCGUAAUAAUUUUUGAUAGAUCUUAUUGACAAAAUAGUUUGCGACCUCGAUGUUGGAUUAGGAUUCUUUUUUAAUGAAGAAGUUAAAAAAAGAAGUUUGUUCAACUUUUAAAUUCCU
rnacentral:rRNA from 1 species